AAUCAGUGAUGAAAAGAUUCUGCCAAAUGAUCUCUGAUUAUAACCCACCGUUCCAUCUUGUCUGAGGUU
rnacentral:snoRNA from 1 species